UAUAUUUCAUUUCAUUUCUUUAGAUACAUUCUAAACAUGUGUGUCUCAAGAGGUUGUGAAAAAUGACAUAGACCUGGAAAUGCAAGGCAAAGCUGACUUUGUAAGAAAAGCACAGCAGUCCUGACUCGAAUAAAAAUCCAUAAAGCUCCAGGGUCUACAAAAUGUGCACAAGUUGGGGGAAGAAUAACAAAGAUGAGACAAGCGUGCACAUGUCCCAAGAGACCAGCAACAGCCUGUUCAAGUUUAUUCGAUAAUGAUCCUUCCGCAGGUUCACCUACGGAAA
rnacentral:misc_RNA from 1 species